rnacentral:lncRNA from 1 species
CUACUUCACCCAUUGAAUGAUCUCUCGAUUCUUUGAUUUAUUUUGGGCACUGUUGUGGUGGCUUUCCGUUCCCCGACCUCGGUUGCCUACUGAAAAGCCACCUCAGUGGAGCACCAAUGAAAUCAAUCGAUUAACGGAUUUUUUUAAAAAAGGAAAAUGGAUUAAUGGGAUCCGUAGGAUUCCAGCCGUGGAUCAAUAUUUUCGCCGGAAUAUAUGCAAUAACUUUUCACAGCAGCCACCAUAGC